rnacentral:rRNA from 1 species
CGUCUACGAGUUUGAUCCUGGCUCAGAACGAACGCUGGCGGCGCGUCUUAAACAUGCAAGUCGAACGAUCUGUAGCAAUACAGGGAGUGGCGGACGGGUGAGGAACACGUAGGAAUCUACCUCGAAGAGCGGGACAACUUUGGGAAACCGGGCUAAUACCGCAUAGUACAGAGAUGUUAAAGGGCUAGCAAUAGUCGCUUCGAGAUGAGCCUGCGGUCUAUCAGCUUGUUGGUGAGGUAAUGGCUCACCAAGGCUACGACGGAUAGCCGGUCUGAGAGGAUGAUCGGCCACACUGGCACUGAGACACGGGCCAGACUCCUACGGGAGGCAGCAGUUAAGAAUCUUGCGCAAUGGGGGCAACCCUGACGCAGCGACGCCGCGUGAAGGAUGAAGGCUUUCGGGUUGUAAACUUCGGUAGACUGGGAAGAAGAAAUAACGUUCGUUGAGGGCGUAUAGUGACGGUACCAGUCUGAAGCCCCGGCUAAUUACGUG